rnacentral:rRNA from 1 species
UACGUAGGUGGCAAGCGUUGUUCGGAAUUAUUGGGCGUAAAGAGCGUGUAGGCGGUCAGGUAGGUCCGUUGUGAAAACUCGAGGCUCAACCUCGAGACGCCGAUGGAAACCAUCUGACUAGAGUCCGGAAGAGGAGAGUGGAAUUCCUGGUGUAGCGGUGAAAUGCGCAGAUAUCAGGAGGAACACCGAUGGCGAAGGCAGGUCUCUGGGCCGCAACUGACGCUGAGGAGCGAAAGCAUGGGGAGCGAACAGG